CCUACGGGAGGCAGCAGUAAGGAGUAUUGGUCAAUGGAGGCAACUCUGAACCAGCCAUGCCGCGUGCAGGAAGACAGCCCUCUGGGUCGUAAACUGCUUUUAUUCGGGAAUAAACCUAUCUACGUGUAGAUAGCUGAAUGUACCGAAGGAAUAAGGAUCGGCUAACUCCGUGCCAGCAGCCGCGGUAAUACGGAGGAUCCAAGCGUUAUCCGGAUUUAUUGGGUUUAAAGGGUGCGUAGGCGGCCUGUUAAGUCAGGGGUGAAAGACGGUAGCUCAACUAUCGCAGUGCCCUUGAUACUGAUGGGCUUGAAUACACUAGAGGUAGGCGGAAUGUGACAAGUAGCGGUGAAAUGCAUAGAUAUGUCACAGAACACCGAUUGCGAAGGCAGCUUACUAUGGUGUCAUUGACGCUGAGGCACGAAAGCGUGGGGAUCAAACAGGAUUAGAUACCCUGGUAGUCCACGCCCUAAACGAUGAAUACUCGCUGUUGGGUCGAUAUACACGUCAGCGGCGUAACGACGAAACGACGUUAAGUUAAGUUACCGUACCGUCGGGGUAGGUACGGCCGUCCGCGAAGAGUAGAAACGUAACGAAAGUAGUAAGUUAGUACGGACGUUAGGAGGACGUUCGGCCGACGGGACGACCACGGAGGGGAGGGUUAGGG
rnacentral:rRNA from 1 species